GAUGAACGCUGGCUACAGGCUUAACACAUGCAAGUCGAGGGGAAACGACGGGGAAGCUUGCUUCCCCGGGCGUCGACCGGCGCACGGGUGAGUAACGCGUAUCCAACCUGCCUCUGACUGAGGGAUAACCCGUCGAAAGUCGGCCUAAUACCUCAUGGCAUCGUCUGCGGGCAUCCAACGACGAUUAAAGAUUUCAUCGGUCAGGGAUGGGGAUGCGUCUGAUUAGCUUGUUGGCGGGGUAACGGCCCUCCAAGGCUACGAUCAGUAGGGGUUCUGAGAGGAAGGUCCCCCACAUUGGAACUGAGACACGGUCCAAACUCCUACGGGAGGCAGCAGUGAGGAAUAUUGGUCAAUGGGCGGGAGCCUGAACCAGCCAAGUAGCGUGCAGGAUGACGGCCCUAUGGGUUGUAAACUGCUUUUAUGCGGGGAUAAAGUGAGGGACGUGUCCUUCAUUGCAGGUACCGCAUGAAUAAGGACCGGCUAAUUCCGUG
rnacentral:rRNA from 1 species